GACGAACGCUGGCGGCGCGCCUAACACAUGCAAGUCGAACGAGCGAUAGAGAGCUUGCUUUCUCGAGCGAGUGGCGAACGGGUGAGUAACGCGUGAGGAACCUGCCUCAAAGAGGGGGACAACAGUUGGAAACGACUGCUAAUACCGCAUAAGCCCACGGCUCGGCAUCGAGCAGGGGGAAAAGGAGCAAUCCGCUUUGAGAUGGCCUCGCGUCCGAUUAGCUAGUUGGUGAGGUAACGGCCCACCAAGGCAACGAUCGGUAGCCGGACUGAGAGGUUGAACGGCCACAUUGGGACUGAGACACGGCCCAGACUCCUACGGGAGGCAGCAGUGGGGAAUAUUGCACAAUGGGGGAAACCAUGAUGCAGCGACGCCGCGUGGAGGAAGAAGGUCUUCGGAUUGUAAACUCCUGUUGUUGGGGAAGAUAAUGACGGUACCCAACAAGGAAGUGACGGCUAACUACGUG
rnacentral:rRNA from 1 species